AAUAUAAGUUGGGGGUGCCGUAAGGCUGAGAGGGAUUAGUCCCAACCCUUUGAACCUGAUGUGGGUAAUGCCAUCGUAGGGAAGCUGUAAUUUAUUAUA
rnacentral:ncRNA from 2 species